AGGAUAGGUCGGGCGGUCGCUCUAAUUUGAUGUAAAUCAGAUUGGGGAGGAAAGUCCGAACUCAUCCAGACAGAGCGCUUGCUAACAGCAAGGACCGAUUUAAUCGGGACGGAAAGUGUCACAGAAACGACACAGCCGAAUUUCAUUAUGAGAUUCGGUAAUGGUGAAAUAGUGCGGUAAGAGCGCACUGUUCUGAUUGGUGACAAUCAGAACGGACAAACCCCGCUUUGAGCAAGACCAAGCCGGAGUUACAAGCGUCUGGCUUUUACGCUCCAGGUCGGUUGCUAAGAGUCUUUUAGCGAUAAAAGACCGAGACUAAUGACCGCUAAAACAGAAUUCGGCUUAUGAACCUAUCCUUCCU
rnacentral:RNase_P_RNA from 1 species